ACUUCGGUUCGGUUCGGUUUAUAUACCGUCGGUUUUUGGUUUAUUCGGUUUUAUACCAAAAAACAUAAUUCUUUAUUUUGGGAUCAUAUUAUAUGAAUUUUAGAGUCUUGUUUUCAACACAUUCAUUUAUUAAAAAAUAUUAUAAGUUUAAAUAAAAGAACAAAAGUAAAAACUGUUUCUAUCAUCUAAUAAAAUAAUCAAAUCUAUAAUUAAAAUUAAAUCUCAAAAUUUUGAUAAUAAAAAUAAAACAGAAGCACGAAGCACAAAAA
rnacentral:lncRNA from 1 species